rnacentral:lncRNA from 1 species
GUUGUCAUCUUUGACACACACAUUUCAUGGCGGUGAUCAACCAAAUUAUUAAAGCGUCUGUUAAACAUUUAAACUUUUGUUGUAAACUCUUUGUUCCAUAGCAUAACAUAAUUAAACCAUGUCAUGAAAUGUAAGCUCUGGUAUAUAUUCUAUUUCAGGCGCGUCUGAACUUUUACUGCAUCUAGAUUAAAAGGUCCCAAAAAGAAAACUAAUAUCAUAUAUGUCAUUGUUAGGUUAAGUGCUCAACCGAU